rnacentral:rRNA from 1 species
UACGGAAGGUCCGGGCGUUAUCCGGAUUUAUUGGGUUUAAAGGGAGCGUAGGCCGUCUGUUAAGCGUGUUGUGAAAUGUCGGGGCUCAACCUGGGCAUUGCAGCGCGAACUGGCAGACUUGAGUGUACGGGAAGUAGGCGGAAUUCGUCGUGUAGCGGUGAAAUGCUUAGAUAUGACGAAGAACUCCGAUUGCGAAGGCAGCCUGCUGUAGUGCAACUGACGCUGAAGCUCGAAAGCGUGGGUAUCGAACAGG